GGUUUGAUAAGUCAGCGGUGAAAGUUUGCAGCUUAACUGUAAAAAUGCCGUUGAAACUGUCGGACUUGAGUGUAAAUGAGGUAGGCGGAAUGCGUGGUGUAGCGGUGAAAUGCAUAGAUAUCACGCAGAACUCCGAUUGCGAAGGCAGCUUACUAAGCUACAACUGACACUGAAGCACGAAAGCGUGGGGAUCAAACAGGAUUAGAUACCCUGGUAGUCCACGCAGUAAACGAUGAUUACUAGCUGUUUGCGAUACACAGUAAGCGGCACAGCGAAAGCGUUAAGUAAUCCACCUGGGGAGUACGCCGGCAACGGUGAAACUCAAAGGAAUUGACGGGGGCCCGCACAAGCGGAGGAACAUGUGGUUUAAUUCGAUGAUACGCGAGGAACCUUACCCGGGUUUGAACGUAGGGAGACAGGGGUGGAAACAUCCUUUUCAGCAAUGACUGCCUACGAGGUGCUGCAUGGUUGUCGUCAGCUCGUGCCGUGAGGUGUCGGCUUAAGUGCCAUAACGAGCGCAACCCUUAUUUCCAGUUACUAACAGGUAAUGCUGAGGACUCUGGAGAGACUGCCAGCGUAAGCUGUGAGGAAGGUGGGGAUGACGUCAAAUCAGCACGGCCCUUACAUCCGGGGCGACACACGUGUUACAAUGGUAAGGACAAAGGGCAGCUACCGGGCGACCGGAUGCUAAUCUCUAAACCUUAUCUCAGUUCGGAUCGGAGUCUGCAACUCGACUCCGUGAAGCUGGA
rnacentral:rRNA from 1 species